AGCAGUAAACACUUACUUUGCUAGGGUUUAAAACAAGGUUAUUAGUUAACUUGGUGAAUCAGUCCGAUCUCAGAAAGUAGUCGACGUAGUAACCAUUGGAAACCUAUAGUAGCAGUUGCUUCUGCAUUUCUUGUGUGCAAAGCUUCCUUCGUCAAAUCACCUAUCACAUUUUGUUACCAAAUCCUCGAAAUGUCUUAGCCUGGUACGCCUGGAUCAACUCAGGGUAAUCCUCCUUGAAAUAAGCAAAAAACUUGUUUUCGAACUGUUUUUUAGAUGCUGUUAAUGCCGAAACAACAUUUACAUUCUUUUUAAUCAAGCCCUUCAACGUUAGCGCUUCCAAAACAUUGCAUCUUGGUAUGACAUUUCUCUCCAAACUGAUCAUAAAUAGAAAUGGGGAUCUAACAAGAUCUGUAAGUUGCAAACAAGCUUUUGUGAGAUAGAACUCCAUUAGUUGCUUCAUCUUCUUCUCAGAGGUAGUCAUGAAUAAUGGUUGUGCUCUGAAUGCCAUAAGAAUAUCUCUUUCUGACCAACCAAAGCUCAUCAAGACCUUCUUUUUCCUUUCCCAUUUUGAGUUGCCCAUAGCGGACAUUGAAAAAAAAGCAUAUGUAAAGGUCUUGCUCAUUGGUUCAAUCCCCAUAUCCUUGAGUUCUGCAACCUUUUCUUCAUAAGAAUCAAAUCCAUGAAACAGAAAUUGAGGAUGCAAUACUACUAGCCUCCUAAUACUGGGUACUGGCACGCCAAAAGCACAAAAGGUGCAUAUCUUAGACAUCAUCAAUUCAGUAUCCAACCUAAGUACACUAAAGCAUUGCUUCAUGGAAGAUAUAAAAUUC
rnacentral:misc_RNA from 1 species